UGGGGAAUUUUGCACAAUGGGGGAAACCCUGAUGCAGCGACGCCGCGUGAUUUAGAAGGCCUUCGGGUUGUAAAAAUCUUUUGUAUGGGAAGAAAAUGACAGUACCAUACGAAUAAGGACCGGCUAAUUACGUGCCAGCAGCCGCGGUAAUACGUAAGGUCCGAGCGUUGUCCGGAAUCAUUGGGCGUAAAGGGUACGUAGGCGGAUAAGCAAGUUAGAAGUGAAAUCCUAUAGCUCAACUAUAGUAAGCUUUUAAAACUGCUCAUCUUGAGGUAUGAAGGGAAAGUGGAAUUCCUAGUGUAGCGGUGAAAUGCGCAGAUAUUAGGAGGAAUACCGGUGGCGAAGGCGACUUUCUGGCCAUAUACUGACGCUGAGGUACGAAAGCGUGGGUAGCAAACAGG
rnacentral:rRNA from 1 species